GGACAUGUGAGAAGGGUGCUUGAGCCUUGAUGGCUGAGCCCAAACUUGCUCUGCCAGGGCUUCAGAUAAUGAGGGAUAGUGCUCGGUGAGUGCUGGCUGAGGAGAAAGGGCAGCAGAAAAGCAACAGAAUGCAGUGCUGAACCUGAACGAAAAGCAGUCGAUGUAAGAUGUGAAACAUAUCUUUUUUUAUGCUGACCACAUGUCUUCUUUAAGCUGAUUAUGCUUGAUGUGAAGGGUCCUGAAAUUAAGGUGCUGUUUUAGAAGACUGUCGCUUACGGGAAGGAUCUGACAAAGUUAGAUGAGUCCAAAGUUCUCAGGGCUUCAUUUUCCUGCAUGUGGGCUCCAUCCAAAAGUGCACAGGAAAGUGGCAUUUGAGAUUGAAGGUAAAGGUUGAGACAGUAUUGACCUGUCCCACGCAGUGACUGGAUCUGUCUACCUUACUUAAGCUUGUUGGUAGUCUUCAGCAUUAACUGUAACUUCACUUAGGAAAGAAGGGUCACAGAUCUGCCACGUCAACAAAACAGAUGGGAGUCUCCUGUGGUAACACCAUGCCCUGGGAACAGAUAUGGUUCCAUCUGGAUUUUGAGGCUGUGAACAACUUUUGAGGUCUUGGCAGACAAUGGAACACAUAUCUCACCUGACGAAAGUGGAGAUCUGUCUGUUCCUUGGGUUCUGUGGCUUCUGUGAGGAAACUGGGAUGGCUGGUUUGAGGAUAAAUCUGGGAUGAAGUCAAUAACAGCUCAUUUUAGCACAUUCCCCAGACAGUCUACAUUCUCUUCUUCAAGAUUUCCGCAUCAGUAAGAUCCAGGUCUGCUCUGACUAAAAGUGCUGUUUUGAUCUGAAACUGUGUUGGUUCUGAGGGUAUGUGUGUAUAGAUGGGAAAGGGAAUCUCUUUGUGGGUAUCUGCAGCAAAGAUGGAUCAUUCUCUGAGCACUGUGUAGAUUUCAAGCUGGUAACCACCAGGAAAAAUGGAAAAAAAAAAUGGUAUAGGCUAAAACUUUUGGAUAAUGUUGCUGGAAAUAGAUUUAGUAGGAAGAACUACAGAAGCAGUGCUGAAAAAAUGAAAGGCUGUUUAAGUGUCAUCUUGUAUGGCUGUCUAGUGGGAGAGAGGAACCAGGGCAGUGGGAUCCAUGUGAUUUUUUUUUUUGUCUGUACACAGAAAAUGCUAAAGCAAGAACUGUUUAAAAGAAGCUUUAUUAUUUACAUACUCUAGAGAAACUCACUAGAAGGUCAUUGUUCCAGCAGUCUUUGUCGGGUCUUGAACAGCAAAACUGAGAAUGGGAAUGAGGUUUUGAGGGACUCUUGCUCCUAAAUGGCAUAACCACUUUUUCUGCCUAGACUCUGUUUAAGAUAAUGAAUAUGCUUCUAGGCAGCAGACAGUAUCAGGAAGAUACUGUUAUGUCAAAGAAGGAAAGAGGUUUUCACGUAGAACAGCUGAAUCCAGUUUUACCAGUGAAAGUAGUUAGGCAUUGGUAUGUAUAUAUUUCACUCAGAAAAAUCCCACUUGUCAACAGAUCACAGAAAAGUCAUAUUAGUAUUGAUGUGAAAUCAAAUGGUCAUGCUUGGAUCAAUACCUUAUAAUAUUAUUAUGAUGUUUGGGGGAUAUGGAAUGCAAAUUAGCGGUGAUUGAAAUAGCAUUUUCCUCUUACAUUUUAAGUUAUAACUAUUCUGUGUUUUGCACAUUGUUAAAUCAUACAAACAUACUCGCACGCAUAUAACACAUCUAACAGGACAUCAUGACCGAUACAUUAUACCAUGGGGCAGCUGUGAGUUGUCUGUUACACUGUGAAAAUUGCAGAGAAAAUGAUGAGGCCAAGGGGAAUUUUCCUGGAGAAAGCCUUGGUAACUACUGAAUGAGGGUCUUUGUUUUUGACCCGAUGAAAAAUUUUGGCAAGAUAAAGCAAUUAGAAUCCUGGGAUAAGCAAAAUUUUUUGCUCCCCCUCGUUUUAUAUAAGGCACAGCCUUUAUACGACACGGAGAUAGGAAAACCUCUCUCUCAGGAUUAUUUCAUUUUUCUUAUGCCAACCCUCAAAAUUAUUUAAUCGUAAUGAAAAGAUAUUCUUUUAAACUAGUCAUAAUUUUGACACUUUCCUUUUAAUUUGUUAUGCUAAUAUAAGAUUGCUAUCAAGUAUGUAAUUGUGAGGUAAAGUGCUAUAAAGUCUUCUGUUUCAGGUUUUUCCUUUUGGUCUGAAUGAUUACAGAAUAUUUUUGCCAUCAAGAUAACAUCUUCAUAUAAAUUAAUUACAUAAAUGGAAUAUUAUCUAUGCAUUUCACACUAUUCAGUUUGAUGAACUUGUGAACUAGAGAUGUUUUUACUGGGCACAAAGAGACCUUGUAUUGCUCCUUCGCAGUGAGCCCAGUGACGAAUAGUGGCAUCUUCUGUUAUUACGUAUCUCAUCUUUUUCAGUGCUAGUGGGAUAGCAAAAGGAGCUGGAGGAGAGAACAGGCUCUUAGGAGGUGUUCAGAGCCAAAGGAACUGGAAGUGAGAAAUUGCACCUUUUAAUUGCCUGUUGGCAAUUGCCAUGGUUUUUUGCUGUGCUGUUGGUGAAAUGGGAAAAGACAUGGCCAAAGUUGUUCUGGAGAGUUAGGCACAAGUGAAGACAGAAGAAAGGUAAGCAGGAGACAGCAGUGUGCUCAAAUGUUUCCUGGAAAAUGUGUGUGCAGAAAGAAGGAAGCAAGGAGACAGCAGAGGGCAGAACAAAAGACAAGCUGUGAUGCGUGAGUAGGAAACAUUUUCGGAAAAACCAACUCAUACAAGAGCUUAAAAUCCAAACGGUCCCUUCUCCUUGUGGAUGCUGAAGAGGUUGGGGUAUUUACUGAUGUUGGGGUAGAUUUCAUGGUGACAGUGUCCAUAAUUCCAUGGCAGGAGCUCUGAACUGAUUUCUCUUUCACAGUCUCAUGCACACACAAAAAAGUUGGUGUAGACCACUCCUACUUCUCUGAGGAACCAUGGAGAAGAGGGCUGUCGGUCUCUGCCAAGCUCCUGAGUCCUGCAAUCUUUGUUGUACCUGGUCUUUUUGUAGACCACAAAGGGUUUUUUUUUUUCUUCUCAUAUCUGUGUAUCUCUGUGUUGCCUGGCACAGCUGAGAAUCCCUGACAUACAUGGCUCCGUGUCAAAGGUUCUUUUCUGCUUCAUAUGGAAGAUGAUUCUCUGUGAGAAUAAGUGGCAAUGUACUGUAUUUGCAUCUUAUCAGCCACUUCUGACUUGAGGUUGUAAUAAUGGAACUUUUAUGAUGCAAAUUGCUACAUGGAAGGUCCAUAGAAAAUCAAUUGCUAGAUAUUUUAACAUCUUGUUUAAAAUAAAAAUUAUUUCAGAAAGUUUAUAACACUGCCAAGGAGCUACUUUUUAAUGCAGGCUAAAAGUGACUUGUUUUGUAUGAAAGCCAAGGGCCUGCGUGUUUGGGUUGACUACUGGAGAGCUAACCACGUGAAAUUUUGUGUUGCCCCAAACUGAGACUUCUUCCUAGCCUGAAAUUAAACUCAAUUUCAAGUUAAUUUGUAUAGUAACUAGGCAGGAAUGUAGAGUAUGUGGCCAGUUUCAAACAAGCAUAGAUUUAAUGUGUCUAAUAAACAGACCAGGAUACCAGGCUCUGACCAAUUAUUAGGUUUUAAUAAUAUUGUGCACUUGUGAACAGAGAGGCAGAGUUCUUCAGAAAAUUGCUAACUCACACACUGCUGAAGAUGAGCUGUGAUUUCUUGGAUCCAUUAAUGUACUCUCAGGUAGGGAAACACACAAAAUAAAUUACUUAACUUGAUUUGUGCUUCUUCAAGAAUAGUACAAGCUAUCUAAGCAUCCAUUUACUUUCCUUGCUUUCCAUGUAAGAAGCUCUUGUAAUCUUCUCCAUCCUCAAUUUAAAGGCACCUGAGAAAGCACCUUUGGGUAGUUCUGGAUUCUUAGUUCUGGAUGUUAUGCUCUCCUGGAUAGUAGC
ensembl:lncRNA